rnacentral:rRNA from 1 species
CUGCAUGGCUGCCGUCAGCUCGUGUCGUGAGAUGUUGGUUAAGUCCCGCAACGAGCGCAACCCUCGUCCUUAGUUGCCAUCAUUAAGUUGGGCACUUUAAGGAACUGCCGGUGAUAAGCCGGAGGAAGGUGGGAUGACGUCAAGUCCUCAUGGCCCUUACAGGCUGGGCUACACACGUGCUACAAUGGCAUCUACAGUGGGCAGCUAUUCCGCAAGGAUGCGCUAAUCUCCAAAAGAUGUUUCAGUUCGGAUUGUCCUCUGCAACUCGAGGGCAUGAAGGCGGAAUCGCUAGUAAUCGCGGAUCAGCAUGCCGCGGUGAAUACGUUCCCAGGCCUU